rnacentral:rRNA from 1 species
GGUUCAGGAUGAACGCUGACAGAAUGCUUAACACAUGUAAGUCUACUUGAUCCUCGGGUGAAGGUGGCGGACGGGUGAGUAACGCGUAAAGAACUUGCCUUACAGACUGGGACAACAUUUGGAAACGAAUGCUAAUACCGGAUAUUAUGAUUGGGUCGCAUGAUCUGGUUAUGAAAGCUAUAUGCGCUGUGAGAGAGCUUUGCGUCCCAUUAGUUAGUUGGUGAGGUAACGGCUCACCAAGACGAUGAUGGGUAGCCGGCCUGAGAGGGUGAACGGCCACAAGGGGACUGAGACACGGCCCUUACUCCUACGGGAGGCAGCAGUGGGGAAUAUUGGACAAUGGACCAAAAGUCUGAUCCAGCAAUUCUGUGUGCACGAUGAAGUUUUUCGGAAUGUAAAGUGCUUUCAGUUGGGAAGAAGUCAGUGACGGUACCAACAGAAGAAGCGACGGCUAAAUACGUGCCAGCCGCGGC